rnacentral:rRNA from 1 species
UACGGGGGGGGCAAGCGUUGUUCGGAAUUACUGGGCGUAAAGGGGUUGUAGGCGGCCAACUAAGUCCGACGUGAAAUCCCAAGGCUUAACCUUGGAACUGCGUCGGAUACUGGAUGGCUUGAAUUCGGGAGAGGGAUGCAGAAUUCCAGGUGUAGCGGUGAAAUGCGUAGAUAUCGCUUGGAACGCCAACGGUGAAAACGGGUUGCUGGGGGUGUGCUGACGCUGAGACACGAAAGCCAGGGGAGCGAACGGG